CCAAAUCGCGGACGGGCAGCCGAGGAAAAAGCGGGGUGGAGAGCGGUGUGCGGAAUGAUGGGGUGGAAAGGGGUCGUAGGCGUCCAACUAAUGCAGACGUGAAAGCCCGCGGCUGAACCGGGUAACUGCGGCGGAGACUGGAUGGCUUGAGUUCGGGAGAGGGAUGCGGAAUUCCAGGGUGAGCGGUGAAAUGCGUAGAUAUCUGGAGGAACACCGGUGGCGAAGGCGGCAUCCUGGACCGACACUGACGCUGAGGAGCGAAAGCCAGGGGAGCAAACGGGAUUAGAUACCCGAGUAGUC
rnacentral:rRNA from 1 species